AGCAAUACCGCAAUGAUAUGGGUAUGGAUCCGAAUCCUCUUGAAGGAUAAUAUAGGCACUCCAUACCCUACUCCGACUCAAUACGUCCCCGUCGUACAGAACAUAUAUCGUAUCUCUCCAAAUAUCUGAGUUUGGGUAUAGGAGGAAACCCAAUCCCUUGGGAAGCUGGGGUAUAUGGCUAAAUUGAGCGGA
rnacentral:ribozyme from 1 species